UGCAUACGUAUCCCAGAACUGAAAGUAAAAUUAAAAAAAGAAAAAGAAGAUAAUUUUUAUGCCAAAGUAACAUAAAAACAACUACCCAGUGUCAGGUGUUUUGUUACAGCAGCCUGAGUGAACUAAGAGAGUGCCCUUUCCUGUAUAAGGGGUGGCUGCAGGGCCCUCCAGGUCAUGGGAAACUUGUUAAUUGUUUAUUUAAUUAAAUUUUUUAGUCUUCAUUUAAACAUCAUGUAGUGCGGAUGCACAGACACACACUCACACACUUAAUUACAAUUGUGAGACAAAUGAAAUAAUAAAGGAAAGUUCUUAGCAAACUCUUCGUGCAUUAUUAGUGCUCAAUAAAUGCUAAAUACUAUGAUUAAUAAUACAUUUUUGUUAUUAACUUGAACGGAAUGUUCGUUAGGAAGGACUACACUGGCUUCUUACAGCCAACUGCAGCUUCUUUGUGUGAGUGUUGCUUCUUGAGCUUUAUUAAGUUUUUGUGCCAGUGUACAAAUGGCACAUGUGAGUCUCCACGAAACUAGUUCAUUUUCCAAUUCAUAGCUAGUGUUGUUCCAAUACUGACGCUUAUAAUAAAAGUGUUAAGUAAAUCACCAUUAACCAUUGCCUUAAACAACUGAAUUGAGAAAAGUUUCAUUAAUUUCUCAUUAUUCUUCUUUUACUGUGCACAUGAGCAUGUGAUUUUAAGCUUUCAUAAUAUGCGUGUAUUGUUUAGUAUUACAGACAUUCACAGCUGAAAAGCAACUCAGAGGUUACUUAGUGAGACCUAAUUGUAUUAACUUUACAUAUGAAGAAAUGGAAUCAAGAUGAAAACAUCUUCAAUGGUUUACCCAAGAUUGCAUUGUAUCUCAUGUCAUAAAUUAAUCCAAUCUUUAAAACCCAUCAUUUCUUUUACCCAUCCAUUCAUUUACUAGGUAAGUAUUUGUUGUGCAUCUCCUGUGUGCUAAGCAUCACGCUCUACCGUGGGAAUACAACGAUUAAGACCCAGUCCCCUGCCCACGGAGAGCCCUGUGCGUUUAUGGAUAAGACAGGCAAGAUGGCAGGCAAUGACAGAGUCUUGAGAUAAAGUCACAUGGCUACACCUGGCUGUUCUCUAGACGCCUCAGAAAGAGGAAAUGAUUCAGGCAUUGAGCGUUCUGGGAAGGACUCAUCUGAUUUUUAAUACUUCAUUAUUAAAAUGUUAAGCAACAGAAACAUGCUUUGACUUAGGGAGAUCCAAAAAACCUACAUUUGAUUUCAAAUUCUGCUACAUGCUUGCUCUAUGACCUUAAACAAAUGACUUAGCCUUUCGGAGUUUCCUUAUCUUUAAAUGGGGAUAAUAAUAUGAACCCCAGGAUAUUUGACAAAAUUAUAUAGUAAAUACAGAAUUCUAAGUACUGAAUAAGUAAUUGUUGCUAUUCCAUACACUUAUUUAAAACUUAGCCUCUUGGGAAAAGCAUAUGGUAAAACUCAGGCUUCUUCUACACCCGUGUCUUUCAGGAUGGGGGAGAAAAUGGCAGAGGGGCUCAAACACAAGGCUUAGCCCCCACCUAUUCUGUGCUCUUUCCACCCAAACACAUGGAAUCAAGCUGCCACGGAAGCAGAAGCCUGGGGAGAACAGGAAACAAAAACGCAGAGAUACUGAGUUCACGAGUGACUGCAGUGUUAGAAGAGGUGUGGGGCUGAAUGGGAGUGUGGGGACAUGUUAGAAAAUCGCUCUCAGAGGAGUUACCACAAAGAAAAGCUUUCUUUCUGAUUUUUACAUCCCAUCACUCAAAUUACUGUAACCUACAAAAUUCAUGAAUAUGCACUAGUUCCCCAUUGCACUAGGUAUUUGGUGGGGCAUGAAUUCAGAUUCUGAGAGGUGAAUAAGUCCAACAACACCUUGACUUCUUAAA
rnacentral:lncRNA from 1 species